AACGGCGAGUGAAGCGGCAAGAGCUCAAAUUUGAAAUCUGGCCUCCUCCGGGGGUCCGAGUUGUAAUUUGCAGAGGAUGCUUCGGGUGCGGCCCCCGUCUAAGUUCCUUGGAACAGGACGUCAGAGAGGGUGAGAAUCCCGUUUUGGGCGGGCGGCCCGCGCCCGUGUGAAGCUCCUUCGACGAGUCGAGUUGUUUGGGAAUGCAGCUCUAAGCGGGUGGUAAAUUUCAUCUAAAGCUAAAUACUGGCCGGAGACCGAUAGCGCACAAGUAGAGUGAUCGAAAGGUUAAAAGCACCUUGAAAAGGGAGUUAAACAGCACGUGAAAUUGUUGAAAGGGAAGCGCUUGCGGCCAGACUCGGGGGCGGGGUUCAGCGGGCGCUCGUCGCCCGUGCACUCCCCGCGCCCCGGGCCAGCAUCAGUUUCGACGGCCGGUCAAAGGCCCCCGGAAUGUGUCGUCUCUAGGGACGUCUUAUAGCCGGGGGUGCAAUGCGGCCCGUCGGGACUGAGGAACGCGCUCCGGCUCGGAUGCUGGCGUAAUGGCCGUAAGCGGCCCGUCUUGAAACACGGACCAAGGAGUCUAACAUCCACGCGAGUGUUCGGGUGUCAAACCCGUGCGCGCAGUGAAAGCGAACGGAGGUGGGAGCCUUUGGGCGCACCAUCGACCGAUCCUGAAGUCUUCGGAUGGAUUUGAGUAGGAGCGUGGCCGUUGGGACCCGAAAGAUGGUGAACUAUGCCUGAAUAGGGUGAAGCCAGAGGAAACUCUGGUGGAGGCUCGCAGCGGUUCUGACGUGCAAAUCGAUCGUCAAAUUU
rnacentral:rRNA from 1 species